rnacentral:tRNA from 1 species
GGAGAUGUAGCUCAGUGGUGGAGCACUUGUCUAGGAUACAAGAGGUCCUGAGUUCAAUCCCUGGCACCAUUA